GACGAACGCUGGCGGCGCGCUUAACACAUGCAAGUCGAACGGAAAGGCCUGCUUUCCCUUGUGGAUUGCGGGUACUCGAGUGGCGAACGGGUGAGUAACACGUGAGUGAUCUGCCCCCAACUUGGGUAUAAGCCUGGGAAACUGGGUCUAAUUCCCGAUAGGACUGCAGGGUGGUGCCUGUGGUGGAAAACGAUUUUCUAGUGGUUGGGGAUGAGCUCGCGGCCUAUCAGCUUGUUGGUGGGGUAAUGGCCUACCAAGGCGGCGACGGGUAGCCGGCCUGGGAGGGUGGACGGCCACAUUGGGACUGAGAUACGGCCCAGACUCCUACGGGAGGCAGCGGUGGGGAAUAUUGCACCAUGGGCGGAAGCCUGAUGCAGCGACGCCGCGUGGGGGAUGACGGCCUUCGGGUUGUAACCUCCUUUCGACCGCGAGGAAGCCACCUGGUUGGAAGGGUGGUGACGGUAGUGGUAGAAGAAGCACCGGCUAACUACGUG
rnacentral:rRNA from 1 species